AUACAUGGAUUCAAUUUGAAGUCUCCAGCCAACAGACUCUAUUGACCGAAGACUUGGGGGACUACAUUAUGUACCAUAUAUUGGGCCUCAACUGGGCCUCAUGAAAAAUAUUUGGGGGACUCUAGCCCAUCACUUAUGUAUUGAGGAGUGAGCCCUUAUUCUAUAAAAGGGAAUCCCUCACUUUCAUUAGAGAGCACCCAUUAUUCAUGUACUGAGGAGUGAACCCUUAUUCUAUAAAAGGGACUCCCUCACCAUCAUUAGAGAGCAUCAACUCUAGCCCAUCAUUCAUGUAUUUUGAGGAGCGAGCCCUUAUUCUAUAAAAGGGACUCCCUCACCUUCAAACGCCGCAAGUCGAGCUAACCAAGGCAACAUAAGCCACGAGCCGAGCAGCCUCACAGCAUGUGCUACUUCUAGUUGAGCAUCAUUUCAGAUUGGGCACCGCCUCAUAUCGAGCAUCAGUUACUUCGGCCCACACAUGGACUGAAUUUCAAGUCUCCAGCCAAAAGACUCUCUUGACUGAAGACUUGGGGGACUACUGUUUAUACCAUAUUUAGGGCCUCGUAUAUUUGGGCCUUGGGCCUUGUAUUUGGGCCUCACACUAAAGCCCAUACUUUGUAAAAGAGGAGGAGCCCCUUAUUCUAUAAAAGGGGACUCCUACCCUCAUUCUAGGGGAGGCCUCACUCUCACUCUCGAAGGCCAAUUCCUAGGCCUGAGAUCCCCUCUCUCAUCCUCAGAAGCUCUCAGAAGCUUUCACCCUCUUCCUCUCUAUUCCCUCAAAUAAAUAUACAAUCAGUGUGGACGUAGCCCAAACCUUGGGGUGAACCACGAUAACUCUUGUGUCAUUUACAUUUCAUGCAGAUUCACGGUCGGAUUUACGUUGUACCAAGACCAUCCGGUUUUGUGCAUCAACAUUUGGCGCCGUCUGUGGGAAUCGACACAAAAAGCUAUGUCGGUUCUCUUUCAUUUUUUUCAUCACCGCCAUGAAUCUGCAGAAACCAAGAACCCAAAUCUUUCCCAGAAAAUCCCCACAAACAACAAGCCACCAUGUUAUCUCCUCUCUUUUUCUCUCUCUAUUUGUUUCUGUAUCCUCAUAUAGAGAUCUGAUAAAUAGUGUUUGGUGGUGUAAAGAUACAAAUCGAACGGUCCAGAUCAACCCCAAACUUCUUCACCUCCGUGUGUUUCUGAAGCGCCAGAUAUCAACCCCAACCUUCUUCGUCCGACAAACUUAAAAAGCGGCAAAGCUUCAUCCCAGGGUCGCUGAUCGACCUAGCCCGAUCGCGGGGCAUCGAUCUCGUUCGGAUCGACACUAAGCACUCGCUGGCAGAUUGGGAAGCGUUCGAACCUGACGAAGAUGAUGAAUGGGUCAGGCCAUGGACCAGGUCCGCACUCUCGGGUCAUAGAUCGGGUCAUGAACCGGGUCAACGACGCCCGCCUGGAGAAAGCUCUGGCCGUCUGCGAGGACCUGUUUGAGGACACGAUCGAUCAGCUCAAUGAUUCGCCGACCUCCGCCGACAGCACUACAAGAAGCUUCAGUCACCAAAAGAUUGGGUGCGCAGAGAGAUUUUGUAUGUAUGUAAGCCACCCGUUGGUCCAUCCAGAAGAGGCCCCGCCCACGACUAAAGCGACAGCCCAGAACGCUCUCAGAGUGAGAAUAAAGGACGUCCAAGGCAUGCCUGGCACCCUCAGUGGGCUCGCCCUGCAUCUCUGCCACCACAACUCUCACGACCCGUUUGCAUUUCUCGGGUCUGAUGGGUUAAGACCUUCUCGAAAUGAUGCUGUCGAGACUACCAACAUCUGCCUUCUUCCACCUUACUUCAGUGUGCAAAAGAUGGAAAUCAGGUGCAUCUUCUCCCAGUUUUAAGCUUGCCUGCUCUCAGAUCCCAUUUCGGGAUCCAUGGUUUUUUAGAGUGUGAGAAAGCUGUAGUUAGUCAUCCUGAACCCCACGAUCUGAACUACCACCUACUACGCCGUCCGCCAUGGGGCCCACGCCAUCCUCACUCUCCUCCUCCUUGCUGAGAUCACGAGCGGCUGCCAGAACGCCUGGACCCUUACCUGGUUUCGAAGGGCCGGUUCGCCUACCGCAAACAAGCAUGUUUCCUUCUGAAAAAAAAGCUUUACAGAACAAAUGGACGCAAAUGAUAGUAUGGAAGUGGGAGAAAAGCAUGAGAAUGGUGGAAAUGUUGAAGAUGCAUUGCAAUCAACUGAUGAUCAUGCAACUGUAGCCAAUGAACAAGAGGAGGAAGUUUCUGAUUUUCCAUUAGAACGCUGCAUGAGGAUAGUCCCACAUGAUCAAAACGGAGGAGCUUUCUUUAUUGCUGUCUUCCACAAACAUUCUGCUUUGCCAGGAGCGAAGCAGCAAUUUCUCGAGGCAUUCAUCAACAAGAAAAGCAGAAAGCAGCUGUCACUUUGGCUGCAAUUAUUACCACGGAAAUAUCAGUGUUAAAACCAACUGGAGUCAUAAAAGCUAUGGAUACCAAGCAGCUGUCAUUUUAGAGAAAAGCAAGAAAAGCAAUGGCAAUUAAAAGGUUAAAGUCAGAUGGUCUCCAGGGCCAUAGAACAUGGGUGGACAGAGAAUGAGCAGAAAGAGAAAGCAAAAGCAAAAGAUUAUUCCCUUGUCUGUCAUCUGCCAAAAGAAAGAAAAAUAAAGAGAAAGCAAAAAACAAAAGCAAAAGAGAAAAGCAAAAGAUUUUUCUAUUAUUAUGAUUUCUUACCAGGUGAAGAUAUAGAGAGAGGGCAGCAGAAAAACACUGCAAAAGCAAGGAAUAAACACCUCACCCGAAUGAUGUAAUUUAUUAUCUUUCGGAGACAUCUGUAUAAACCCCAUCAGAGGGUAAUAUGUAUAAACCCCAUCAGAGGGUAAUAUGUAUAAACCCCAUCAGAGGGUCAAAAAAAAAAAAAAAAAAAAAAAAAAAAAAAAAAAAAAAAAAAAAAAAAAAAAAAGGAAAAGCCCAAAACAAAUGGCUGACAUGUUGUGGAGGGCAAAGGCCCAUAGGCCUGAAAUAGCACCAACCAGGUCAUCAAAAGUACGCCCAGUACUCCGCAAUUAUUCGGCAACCCGCCGUUAUUACCACCAACCAGGUGAUCAAAAGUACACCCAGUACUCCACAAUUAUUCGGCAACUCGCCGCUAUUACCACCAACCAGGUGAUCAAAAGUACGCCCAGUACUUCAAGUCAUACAUGAGCAUUACUCAUGUCAAUCAUACAUAAACAUUCAUGAGCAUCACUCAUCCAAUCAUACAUAAACAUUCAUGAGCAUCACUCAUGUUAACAUUCAUGAGCAUCACUCAUGUUAACAUCCAUGAGCAUCACUCAUGUCAAUCAACAUAAACAUUCAUGAGCAUCAUUCAUGUCAAUCAGCUUCAAAGACUUCAUUUACAGAGCUCUAGCUUCAAAGACUUCAUUUACAAGAGCUCUAGCUUCAAAAGCUUCAUUUACAAGAGCUCUAGCUUCAAAAGCUUCAUUUACAGAGCUCUAGCUUCAACAGCUUCAUUUACAAGAGCUCUAGCUUCAAAGACUUCAUUUACAGAGCUAUAGCUUCAAAGCUUCACUUGCAAAGCUUCACUUACAAAGCUUCAGUGCAUGGUCUACAAAGACCGCCUCCGAACAACCGCCACUUCGGCCCAUACAUGGAUUCAAUUUGAAGUCUCCAGCCAACAGACUCUAUUGACCGAAGACUUGGGGGACUACAUUAUGUACCAUAUAUUGGGCCUCAACUGGGCCUCAUGAAAAAUAUUUGGGGGACUCUAGCCCAUCACUUAUGUAUUGAGGAGUGAGCCCUUAUUCUAUAAAAGGGAAUCCCUCACUUUCAUUAGAGAGCACCCAUUAUUCAUGUACUGAGGAGUGAACCCUUAUUCUAUAAAAGGGACUCCCUCACCAUCAUUAGAGAGCAUCAACUCUAGCCCAUCAUUCAUGUAUUGAGGAGCGAGCCCUUAUUCUAUAAAAGGGACUCCCUCACCUUCAAACGCCGCAAGUCGAGCUAACCAAGGCAACAUAAGCCACGAGCCGAGCAGCCUCACAGCAUGUGCUACUUCUAGUUGAGCAUCAUUUCAGAUUGGGCACCGCCUCUCAUAUCGAGCAUCAGUUACUUCGGCCCACACAUGGACUGAAUUUCAAGUCUCCAGCCAAAAGACUCUCUUGACUGAAGACUUGGGGGACUACUGUUUAUACCAUAUUUAGGGCCUCGUAUAUUUGGGCCUUGGGCCUUGUAUUUGGGCCUCACACUAAAGCCCAUACUUUGUAAAAGAGGAGGAGCCCCUUAUUCUAUAAAAGGGGACUCCUACCCUCAUUCUAGGGGAGGCCUCACUCUCACUCUCGGAGGCCAAUUCCUAGGCCUGAGAUCCCCUCUCUCAUCCUCAGAAGCUCUCAGAAGCUUUCACCCUCUUCCUCUCUAUUCCCUCAAAUAAAUAUACAAUCAGUGUGGACGUAGCCCAAACCUUGGGGUGAACCACGAUAACUCUUGUGUCAUUUACAUUUCAUGCAGAUUCACGGUCGGAUUUACGUUGUACCAAGACCAUCCGGUUUUGUGCAUCAACAGA
rnacentral:lncRNA from 1 species